GCACAACAGACAUAUUAUAUUACACUAACAAAUAUACAAACAUUAAAUAUAUAAAUAUAUACACAUAAAAAUUAGGUUAAACCCACUGAGGACUACUCCCCAGUAGAGUCUCCACUUAAUUUCUAUAGUGGUAAAUUCAUGACCAUCAAGCUAUGGAUAAGCUUAACAUCAAUGAAACCAAGGUCGUCACCGUGAUUUUAUUGUUUCCAAAGGAAAAGGAAAAAGUACGAACAAAA
rnacentral:lncRNA from 1 species